rnacentral:lncRNA from 1 species
CAGAAGUGCUGAACACUUGACGUGCCUUGUCUUCUUUGAUCCUCACAACAAACCUUAUGAGAUGCAUCACUACCAGAAGUUGUCCAGAAAGAACUGUGACCCUAUGUUUUAAUUAAAUAAUUUUUCGUCCAGUUUUUUUCUCUGCAUAUAAGGAAACAGAAUCCUGACAUCCGAUUGAAUUAUUGGCUCUCCUGAUGGUUGCGCGAUGGCUGCAGCAGUUCCAGAUGUUCCAUCAAGACAUGAAAAGGCCUAACGUGCCAUGCCACUCAAACAGCCAAUGGAAAGGCCCACGUGGCGAGAACUAAGGCUUCCUGCCAACAGGCAAGUGAGGAAGCCCAGUCAGCUAGCUGCCUGCAGUCCCGACCCAUGAAGAGCCUGACUGAAAGUGAAUGAGCAACCGUGAGCUAGGACAACCCAGCAAGGCCUGUCCUGAAUUCCUGCCCACAAAAACUCUGAGACAGUAAAUGUUCGUUGUUUUAAACCACUAAGUUUUGAAGUAAUAGAUUAAUUAGGUAACAAAUUGGGACUACAGUAUUCCUUCAGGGAACUUUAAUAGUCAUUCUGUAUGUGGAAAUUGUACACAUCUUAAAAUUGCUGGACUAAAGUGAGAAGAGACUGUCUUGAGCCAACUGGAUAAAGUGGAAAAAAAAAUUAAUUUGGAAAUCAAUAGAAUUCUGGCCUUGGCUUUGUCACUAAGAAACACUUAUAAGUAAUUUCACUUCUCUUGUAAUUAUGAUCAUUAUCUAUAACAUAAAGGAACUGAGCUAAAUGUUAUCUGAUGCCUCUUUAAGCUCUCAAACUCCAUAGAUUUAUGAAAUGCUUGAAAUUCACGUUGUUUCACCCUAAUUCAGAGCUUUGUUUCACUAGCUCUAGAAUUAGAUGCUUUGUGUUUAAAUUGCAAUUCAGUCACUUAUUAAUAAUUGUACUUGGAUGAGUGAUGUUGCCAUUUUAAGCCUCAGUUUCCCCAUAGAUUAAUUGAGAAGAUCAAAUAAGAUGAUGCAGAUAAAGCUCUUAGUUUGUGGGACACUUAGUAAGUGCUUAAUAAAUACAGGCAGUUGUGUUAUCUAUAUUGUAGCAGCACAUUUGUAAAAUAAAACAAAGUUGAAAUCACA